rnacentral:rRNA from 1 species
GUAGGUGGCAAGCGUUGUCCGGAAUUAUUGGGCGUAAAGCGCGCGCAGGCGGUUCUUUAAGUCUGAUGUGAAAGCCCACGGCUCAACCGUGGAGGGCCAUUGGAAACUGGAGAACUUGAGUACAGAAGAGGAAAGCGGAACUCCACGUGUAGCGGUGAAGUGCGUAGAGAUGUGGAGGAACACCAGUGGCGAAGGCGGCUUUCUGGUCUGUAACUGACGCUGAGGCGCGAAAGCGUGGGGAGCAAACAGGGAUUAGAUACCCUGGUAGUCCACGCCGUAAACGAUGAGUGCUAAGUGUUAGGGGGUUUCCGCCCCCUUAGUGCUGCAGCUAACGCAUUAAGCACUCCGCCUGGGGAUACGGCCGCAAGGCUG